CUCAGCUAAAACAGUGAACUUCAUUAACAGGGCUGAGAAAAGUCAAGCCACUGAACAAAGCUCCCCAGAGAACCCUGUCUCAGAGGGGACUUCACUUCCGGAAGGCCCAGCCAGGGUGUUACAGAUUUGGAAGGUGCAGGAGGAAUUGAACAGGGAUUGUAUGGAACCUGUGGGAGUGAAUGAUGAAGAAGAGGUGGUGGGCUGGAGGGGCAGAAGUCACCCUUAUUAAGCCUGAUCUGGUGCAAAAGGAGCAGUACUUGCCAGGCAGGACUUAUAAGAUCCAGGGAUAAGAAGUAGGCCUCAGGCUUCUGAAGAGUAGACAGCACCUACAGAGCCCCAGCCCAGAGCAAACGAUCCCAGAGACAUCAAUGCAGACAGUUUACUGCAAGGGGAGCAUGCUGCAGAAUUCCUUGCUGAACAAAAGCAGGAUGAAUCCUUGAAGGGAUUGUGGCAGGAAGCAGUGAGGACCUCCGCGCAAGAUGUCACCAUAGAGCAGCCGUGCCUGUACAAGGCCAGUAUCCUACCCUACCUAUGACCCCAUUCUAUGUAGUACCAUUCCAGCAUCUGCUGCAACCUGAAACCCACUGAACUUCACUCAGCAGUGGAACAUGGAACAGCCUCAGAGGUUGGCUGGAACCUGGGUGUUCAUGGUAGGCCGCCUUUGGACAUAGCAUGGAACCUCAGAGCUGAGAGAUAUAUUGAGAAAAUCUGCUUGGAUGCAGCUGAGAGCUACUAAACAGAGAACUACAAGAUUUUGAUUUCCAAGUGGAAUAAAUGUGGGAAGGAAGGAAGGAAGGAAGGGAAGGAAGAAGGAAGGAAGGAAGGAAGGAGAAAGCAAGCUUUGCAUGCUUUCCCAAUGAAUAUAUUGAUCUGCUAUUCUGAAACACUGAGGACCAACAGAACAUCCUCUUUCAUCACCGCAAAUUGGCCAAGUUCUUCAGCAUCUGAGCCUGAGAAGCUCAGUUCUGCAGAGGGUAUAUGAUGUUUUUAAGUGAGACGUCAAUGGGAGGAAUUGAGAAUACUGAAUAGGAUAUCGUCCUUCAUAUACACGUUGCCCCCUGAACUAUGAUAGAAACAAGGCCACAAAACAUGAGACCUCUGUUGUAGACAAAAAUGUAGAUAUUUAUAUUUUAGAGAAUGGUUCAUCUUUAGUAACUAUAAAAAGGACAAUUCACUUGGCCCCUAUGAAGGAUUCCAGUUGUCUUGUCAAUUCCAUAGCCUGCUUUAUCCUUUUUCUGAGUUUCAGUGGUAACACCUACAUCACAUCAAACCUGUGAUGUGGACAUGCAUUCCAUAAAUCAAUGAUGACUAUUCCUAUUCUAAACUGCAACUCUGCUGCUUUAGCUUCUGUUUACUAUUGCAUGUUCAAGUCGGGCAGCUUUAGAGCAUUUAUCAUUAGGGAGAGGCUAGACAGCGGGAGCUGGUUAAUGCUUUCUAAUUACCAAACUAUUAAUCAAAUGUAAAAGUAAUCCAUGCUCUUCUGAGUAAACAAGAAAGCAUUAUUAGACCUUUUAAACAACUGCUACCUUGUGUAAAAAUAGAUUAUCAACAUUUUCAAAGUCCUGUAGUCAUUAAAACUGCCACAUAGCCUGAGGACUGUGCUGCAUUUGGGAUGGCAAAAUAGAGUUCAAUGUCAGCUUUACAAUACCAGACUGAAUGAAUUUCAAUGGGAAGAAAGCGCGUCAAUGUCUCAGCUUUGUCACAGAUUUAGCCUGAGGAACUAGCUGUUCAUCAUCCUUUAAAUAAUUGUGGUCACCAGCCUGCCACUUCAAAUACUUAAUGCUUCCAUGACUGGCUGAGACAGCUAAUUAGCUAAACGACAGAAUAAAUCUCUGGUUAAUAGAAGAUAGCUGGUUGCUGUAUCAUCCAUGUUGCUACACGUACUACAAAGCAAGGGGAAGAACUAGCCAAAGUUAAGCACCUUCAAAUCUAUUGAUUUCAAUAGGAGAUCCUUAAGCACGUUCUUAACUCUCCCACUGAAAUCGAUGUUUGAAAAUGUUUCACUUUGCCUGGAUUGUGCACUAAGCUAAAGUAAUGAGGACUUUUUACAGCAUCUGCAGAUAAUGCUUAUCUUUGAACAUUUGUUCAUAUGUAACAGUCUGGGGGUAGAGUCCAUUUCAGUUUCUGUGAACACUCCAUACUGUAAAGCCUCUUAGUAUAACAAACACUUUUUUCCUACAUGGACACUACAGAGAUGGGAGAAAAAGCAUGCCAUUUGCAUGCAUUCCACUGUUCAUGUGUGCGUUCCACUGCAUGUAUAUGUGACAAAAAGCUAGGGAUGUGCUGAAAUGCAAUUUGGCAUCCAAAUUGCUUGUACAUCCCUUUAAAAAUGAGGGCCUACACAGCCCCUUUAAAGCAGAGGACAGCUGGUCCAUACCUGCUCCUUCUCAGAUUGCUGCCAUUGCUGUAAUCCCAACCCUAUCCCCAGCUAUGCCGGCAGGGUGUCUUCCAGCUGCCCCCCCCCAUGACCCUAGCAUGCAUAUAGCCUCUGCGCAUAUGCAGUGGCCAUUUGUGUGGUCAGCUUGGCUGCUUAAGCCCAAGUUUGGCUGCUCAUGAGAACAGCCAGUAGUUUAGGUGGCAUACCAGCUGUCAAAAACCAUGCACAUUUGUGUACAAACAGAAGCACGUGGCUUUGGAAUGACAUCAUGGUGCAUGUUAGCGUUGCGCAGGGUGAGGUCGCCCCAUGUGACACUGGCAUACACAUGGCCUCCAUGCAGGCACGGCGGCCAUAUGCGUAGUCAGCACUGACCAUGCAAAUGGCUGCUGUGCAUGCAUGGAGGCCAUGUGUAUGCGGAGGCAGCUGGGGGAGAGUGCUGCGAGCGUGCACUGAUAGCUGGAGAGAGUGCCACAAGUUCAACAGUGGUAGUAAGUGGAAGAGGAGUAGGCUCUCCUCCACUUUAAUGGGCUGUGUAAGCCCUCAUUUUAAAAGGGAUGUGCCCAUGAUUCAGAUGCCAAUUCGCAUUUCAAGCACAUUUCUGCAAAAAAGCUACUAUUGAUUGUACAGAAUAGACAUUCAUGCAGUUGCUACACAUGUUGAAAUAUAUGGAAUGUGGGUAUGUUCUGGUAUGGACCUACUGAGGGAUAUUGCAGGUUACAUUGAUACAGAUUGUGGGGGAGGGGAAAUACAACAAAUAAUACUUUCAAGAUUUAGGAAGUUAGAUCCUUACACCCAAAAUUUUGAAAUGUGCAUAAAUGUACUAAAUUCAGGGCAAUAUAAUGUAAAUAUAAUGUAAUGUACAUAAAGGUGAUUUUCUUACUGUC